GAACAUAAGAGUUUGAUCCUGGCUCAGAUUGAACGCUGGCGGCAUGCUUUACACAUGCAAGUCGGACGGCAGCACGAGUACUUGUACUUGGUGGCGAGUGGCGAACGGGUGAGUAAUAUAUUGGAACGUACCGAGUAAUGGGGGAUAACUAUCCGAAAGGAUAGCUAAUACCGCAUACGCUUUGAGAAGGAAAGCAGGGGAUCUUCGGACCUUGCGUUAUUCGAGCGGCCAAUAACUGAUUAGCUAGUUGGUGGGGUAAGGGCCCACCAAGGCGACGAUCAGUAGCGGGUCUGAGAGGAUGAUCCGCCACACUGGGACUGAGACACGGCCCAGACUCCUACGGGAGGCAGCAGUGGGGAAUUUUGGAC
rnacentral:rRNA from 1 species